rnacentral:rRNA from 1 species
GAUAAACGCUGGCGGCGCACAUAAGACAUGCAAGUCGAACGGAAGUCGUUAUAUUGAUUUUGAAGAGAACGGAGAACUUGUUCAAAGGGACAUGAUGAAGAUUUAUAACAAUGGCUUUAGUGGCGGACUGGUGAGUAAUACGUAAGCAACCUGCCUAUUAGAGGGGAACAACAGUUAGAAAUGACUGCUAAUACCGCAUAUGCCAUAGGAAUCACAUGAUUCUAAUGGGAAAGGAGUAAUCCGCUAACAGAUGGGCUUACGGCUGAUUAGCUAGUUGGUGUGGUAACGGCAUACCAAGGCGACGAUCAGUAGCCGGACUGAGAGGUUCAACGGCCACAUUGGGACUGAGAUACGGCCCAGACUCC